rnacentral:rRNA from 1 species
UACGGGGGGGGCAAGCGUUGUUCGGAAUUACUGGGCGUAAAGGGCUCGUAGGCGGCCAACUAAGUCGGAUGUGAAAUCCCCGGGCUUAACCUGGGAACUGCAUCCGAUACUGGAUGGCUUGAAUCCGGGAGAGGGAUGCGGAAUUCCAGGUGUAGCGGUGAAAUGCGUAGAUAUCGGAAGGAACAUCAGUGGCGAAAGCGACUUCCUGGACCAAUACUGACGCUCAUGUGCGAAAGCGUGGGGAGCAAACAGG